CAAAACCUCUGCAAGUAAAAACAAGAGAGCAAUUUAAAUGAAAGCACAAGAAUAAAAACCACUUACAAAUCAACUAUUUCUUUUUGGGUACAUAGGAAUUGUAGGGUUACAAGGAGCGACCCAAGCCUCUAAAGUGUUAAACCUAAACAUUUGCUCAACCUUUCCAUUCUCUUCACCUUUACCCUCCAUUGUCUGAUAAACCUCUGAAUAAUACAUUUUCCCACACACUCCCAAGCAAACCCUAAGCAUUUAUUUUUUACCUUGUCUCUCGGUGCUCCUUCACAGGAUUCUAUAUAACAGUCUAACAAGCGCUCCUCCAGAGAUGGCCUACAAAGUUGCAUGAAAUAUCAUUUAAAUUCCUGCCUCAACAGCCGACAAUGGCACUGACUCGUGGAUCAAUCAAAACAACCAUACACAAAGAAAGUUUAUCAACGAGUGAAUUAGACCUCAAUGCAAAUAACCAAGAAAAAACACAUCACACCUGGGCAUGGACUUCUCCUGAAGCUAGUCCUAACAUCUGAGAAACCUGCCGCAACCCAAACGCGGUCACGAUUGCAGAUCAAAGCAUGGAAAUAGUCAGCUAACAACAAACCGCACAACCAUCCCUGCCGCCAUGAUGGCUCGAAGUUCUUAUCACCAGUCCUUCCGGCGGGCCGACACAGGUAUUCCAGACAAAGGACUAUUAUCCUGAAGACGCAGGCGUUUUGUGCUUAAACUGGACAUAUGAACUGGAGAAAAGUCUUAGACUCAGGCUAUAUUCCUGUUUAACGUCUUUAUCUUUCCCUACUUCUCUUCCAAUCAUGCUUUAUUUUCCUUAUAUUUUUGUACCUGAUAAAUUUUCUUUUAUCCAAUUAGACGCGUAAAAAAGGGCAGAAAAAAGUUUGUUUAAAUCAAGAGAGCAUAAAAACGAUCUGCAUCUUUGUAUGCUCUCUUGUUGAAAUUCCAAAUGUAUAGAUUAUUGAUGAGAGGGGGAAAAACAAGAGAGCGUUAAAGUGAAAACCAGUCGGCAAGGGAGCCGACCACCCGGGUUAAUUGGAUGGUCUGGACUGAAAAUAACAUAAGAAAAAACAAGACGAGGGAGGUUAAUUAUAAGUAUCAUAAAAAUAUCUUAUGGAGUGGAAUCCUUAUGAUACCUUUCCUGUAAGGAAGAUUUACAUUAGAUGUUCUCAAAGGAAGAUAGCUAUUCAUUAGCUUCUUCUAGCCUUUAAAGAGAGAAAGUCACGGCGACAGUAAGGCGCUGGGCUGCGGUCGUGAGGCUUGCGGUGGCUAUCGCAUUACCCUAGCCGCUCUUUUAUCUGCGGAAAAAUUAACAUCCACUCUAAUCAAGAAGAUAUGAGGAGCCGUUUUUCUCCUGAGCAAAAAGCUAAUAAUACAGUCUGU